GGGAGGCAGCAGUGGGGAAUAUUGCACAAUGGGCGCAAGCCUGAUGCAGCCAUGCCGCGUGUAUGAAGAAGGCCUUCGGGUUGUAAAGUACUUUCAGCGGGGAGGAAGGCGGUGAGGUUAAUAACCUUGCCGAUUGACGUUACCCGCAGAAGAAGCACCGGCUAACUCCGUGCCAGCAGCCGCGGUAA
rnacentral:rRNA from 1 species